UUACUCUGGUUUCUCUUCAUGACGCACAAGUCUUUUGCCUUUUACUAAAGACUUCUUUGGAGGGGAACGCCGAUGAGUUCAAACUAGUUUUAGUGAGCUUUGCUUUUUGACCGAGCC